rnacentral:lncRNA from 1 species
CAGAACCACACAAACAGAACCACAUAAACAGAACCACACACACAGAACCACACACACAGAACCACACACAAACAGAACCACACACACAGAACCACACAAACAGAACCACACAAACAGAACCACACACACAGAACCACACACAAACAGAACCACACAAACAGAACCACACAAACAGAACCACACACAAACAGAACCACACACACAGAACCACACACAAACAGAACCACACACACAGAACCACACACAAACAGAACCACACAAACAGAACCACACACAAACAGAACCACACACACAGAACCACACACAAACAGAACCACACACACAGAACCACACAAACAGAACCACACACACAGAACCACACAAACAGAACCACACAAACAGAACCACACACACAGAACCACACACACAGAACCACACAAACAGAACCACACACAAACAGAACCACACACACAGAACCACACAAACAGAACCACACACACAGAACCACACACACAGAACCACACACACAGAACCACACAAACAGAACCACACACAAACAGAACCACACACACAGAACCACACACAAACAGAACCACACACAAACAGAACCACACACACACAGAACCACACACACAGAACCACACAAACAGAACCACACACACAGAACCACACAAACAGAACCACACACAAACAGAACCACACACACACAGAACCACACACACAGAACCACACACAAACAGAACCACACACACACAGAACCACACACACAGAACCACACACACAGAACCACACACACAGAACCACACAAACAGAACCACACACAAACAGAACCACACACACACAGAACCACACACAGAACCACACACACAGAACCACACACACAGAACCACACACACAGAACCACACACACACAGAACCACACACACAGAACCACACACAAACAGAACCACACACAAACAGAACCACACACACACAGAACCACACACACAGAACCACACACACAGAACCACACAAACAGAACCACACACAAACAGAACCACACACACACAGAACCACACACACAGAACCACACAAACAGAACCACACACACAGAACCACAGUGCUGCAGUUUCACACUCACAGUUUGUCUUUAAUGGUUGUUAUUGUCUCUGUCAGCUCACCUUAUAUUUCUUAUUAGUAAAUUUC